CUGCCCAAUGAUUAAUUUUAAAUGGCCGCAGUAUCUUAACUGUGCAAAGGUAGCAUAAUCAUUUGCCUUCUAAUUAAAGGCUUGUAUGAAUGAAUAAACGAAAAUUUAACUGUCUCAUUUAAAUUUAUAAAAAUUAAUCUAAAAGUGAAAAAGCUUUUAUUUUAUUAAUGGACAAGAAGACCCUAUUGAGCUUUAUUUUUAAUUAUUUAUUCUUUUUAUAUUUAAAUAAAAUAUUAAAUAAAAUAAAAAUUAGUUGGGGCGACUAAAGAAUAAUAAUACCUUCUUUUUAUUUAAAGGACUAUAAUCCAUAAAAAUGAUCUAAUAUAUUAAUUCACAAAAAAAGCUACCAUAGGGAUAACAGUCUAAUCUUUCUUUAAAGUUCAAAUUAACAGAAAGGAUUGGCACCUCGAUGUUGGCUUAAGAUUUCUUUUUUAUGCAGCAGUAAAAAUAGUAGGUUUGUUCACCUUUAAAAUC
rnacentral:rRNA from 1 species